CUAAUCUUCUUCUUACUAGGUCACCCAUCGUGUACCACCUAAAAUAAGAGAUUGGGGCUGCAAAUUUUGAGCAAGAGAGAACACAGAAGCCGUCUGAAGCCAUCUGAAGUCGUCCGUCGUCGACACUGGCAUUCCAGACGGGUAAAUCGUGUACCACCCAUCUGAAGUCGUGUACCAUUGUGUACCACCCAUUUGAAGACGUCUGUCGUCGACCCUGGCGUUCGAGGCGUGGAGUGUCCAGUUGGUUUAGUGUAGCCGCGUGGGUUCCGGUUUGCGUCCGGCGAGUGGGUUUCCGAUGUAGGUGUUUUUCGGGUAGAUUGAUUCCAGUUUCAGGGGUUGUCUUCCACGGGCGUGUCUGGCUUUCAGAGGUGUUAGUUGUCCGUGGAUCUCUUGGUAUAUGUGGGUGUUUUUUUACCGACUGUAGGUUUGGUUUAACUCAUUUUUCUCUUAUUAUCAUUUUAUUCUCUAUAAUUUGGGAUUUUUCCAAUUCUAGUCCCGUACUUUCAAAUAUUUAAUUUGUGAUUUGGGCUAUAAUGUAGCAUCUUUUGUAAUGAUUUGCUUGCUUGAAUGUUUGAUGAUAAGAUUGAUUUUGAAGUGUUGGAAGGAGUUGAGUUGUUGUCCAAUAGGUUUGAGACCGAUCUUCGCAAGGUUUUGGUAAGUUUCGGUGGUACAUCAUUAUGGAUUGCAUUAGUCUUUCUGGUGAGUAUCCUUAAUUCUCUUAUCUCUUGAACCUCUUCGUUCUCGAUACAAAAAUGAAACAUUUUUGUUACCCGACCAACCAUUAGGAGAAGCAAAUACAACGGGCACACUAAUCAGUAAGAUUGAUCAAGUAACAAUUAAUGCAAAAACAGCCAAUUGGAAAGCAAUAGUCAUGUUUCUAAUCAUCCAAUCUACCAACAAAAUAUACCAUUGAUCCCUUUACCAGCCAACCAAAAUUUUGAUAAAAUGUAUCAGGUAGGGAUUUUACCAUAAAUCCAUUGAUUUUAUAUUACUUCUUACUUUUUUAAUACUUUAGCAUGCAUGGGAUUGAUGUAUACUGGAUCAUAUAUAUUAUAUACAUAUAGAUAGAUUUAUAAAUUCCAACUUAUGUGUCAAUGUUCUAUUCGAUGGGAUGGAAUAUAAAUCAGGUUAGUAUUAAUAGUUCUUUGUUACCCAUUGAAGUAUUGGUCUAAUAAUUAAGUUAUUUUCAAUUUUUGAUGUGCAAUUAAAAUAUUUCAAGGGAUUGGAGCCACAGUUGAUAGCUAUUAAGGCCUUGAAACUCUUUUGAAAUUGUUACAUAGUUGCUGGAAUUUGCGUUUUGUAACCAUUAUUAUUGAACUUUUCGUAGGUUAGAUUACUUUGUUGUAGUUUUGAAGUGACAUUUGGAUCAAGCCACACUUUGGGUAAUCUAUUUGGAGUUAAUUGGUUAUUUUGGUGAAUGAAAUUUUGAAGAACUUUUUUAUUGCUUGUAGAUAAGAUUGGGCUUCCAAUAUUCUCUUCUACUCAUUGAUUCUUGUAUUAGUUUUCUAUUAAAGAUGCACUUUGAUUCCCUUUAUAGAUGGAUUACAAUUGUGUCAAGUCUCUUUCGCCUGAAAGUUGUGAAAGUUGUGAAAGUUGGGGGAAAGGUAUCUUCAUUCUUCUAUUUUAAAUUUUAGCAUAUGUUUGAUUUGUUGAUAAUCUUCUUCUUCUUUGUUAUAUUUUCUCAAAUCUCUCCCAUCUUCGUUUGUUUUGUAGCAAAAGGUAAGUGUUAGGUUGAAUAUGGUCAAAAGAGAAUGAAUGAAAUCCCAGUUGACUUGCUUAAACAUGGCUUGCCUGACCCUUAGUUCUCGAUCUUUAGACUUCAAAGCUCAAUGUAUAGAUUAAAUAAUGUACUUUGUUGAGAGGUUACUUAUUAAACAGUCACUUUUGUGUUUGUUGAAAGUUGAGUUUUGUAUACAAAAACAAUAGUUGAGAUUUUAUUUUGUGCAUGUACAUGUGAAAAAGAAAUACUGUUGUAAUUUAUGAGCAGUGUUCAUAUGAAAGGUCAUAGUUGAACAUAUGGAAUUUUUAGUGAAUAUAUUGAGUUGAUA